rnacentral:rRNA from 1 species
GUUCGGAUUGUAGUCUGCAACCCGACUACAUGAAGCUGGAAUCGCUAGUAAUCGCGGAUCAGAAUGCCGCGGUGAAUACGUUCCCGGGUCUUGUACACACCGCCCGUCACACCAUGAGAGUUGGCAAUACCCAACGUACGUGAUCUAACCCGCAAGGGAGGAAGCGUCCUAAGGUAGGGUCAGCGAUUGGGGUGAAGUCGUAACAAGGUAAC